AUUGAACGCUGGCGGCAGGCCUAACACAUGCAAGUCGAACGGUAACAGGAAGAAGCUUGCUUCUUUGCUGACGAGUGGCGGACGGGUGAGUAAUGUCUGGGAAACUGCCUGAUGGAGGGGGAUAACUACUGGAAACGGUGGCUAAUACCGCAUAACGUCGCAAGACCAAAGAGGGGGACCUUCGGGCCUCUUGCCAUCGGAUGUGCCCAGAUGGGAUUGGCUAGUAGGUGGGGUAACGGCUCACCUAGGCGACGAUCCCUAGCUGGUCUGAGAGGAUGACCAGCCACACUGGAACUGAGACACGGUCCAGACUCCUACGGGAGGCAGCAGUGGGGAAUAUUGCACAAUGGGCGCAAGCCUGAUGCAGCCAUGCCGCGUGUAUGAAGAAGGCCUUCGGGUUGUAAAGUACUUUCAGCGGGGAGGAAGGGAGUAAAGUUAAUACCUUUGCUCAUUGACGUUACCCGCAGAAGAAGCACCGGCUAACUCCGUG
rnacentral:rRNA from 1 species